GACGAACGCUGGCGGCGUGCCUAAUACAUGCAAGUCGAGCGGACGGAUGGGAGCUUGCUCCCAGACCGUCAGCGGCGGACGGGUGAGUAACACGUGGGCAACCUGCCUGUAAGACUGGGAUAACUCCGGGAAACCGGCGCUAGUACCUGACAACUCUUUCCUUCACAUGAGGGAAAGCUGACAGAUGGCCUCUCGCUAUCACUUACACCUGUGCCGGUGUCGCAUUAGCUAGUUGGAGAGGUAACGGCCCACCAAGGCGACGAUGCGUAGCCGACCUGAGAGGAUGAUCGGCCACACUGGAACUGAGACACGGCCCAGACUCCUACGGGAGGCAGCAGUAGGGAAUCUUCCGCAAUGGGCGAAAGCCUGACGGAGCAACGCCGCGUGAGUGAUGAAGGUUUUCGGAUCGUAAAACUCUGUUGUCAGGGAAGAACAAGUACAGGAGUAACUGCCGGUACCUUGACGGUACCUGACCAGAAAGCAACGGCUAACUACGUG
rnacentral:rRNA from 1 species